rnacentral:rRNA from 1 species
CUACGGGUGGCGGCAGUGAGGAAUAUUGGUCAAUGGGCGCGAGCCUGAACCAGCCAAGUCGCGUGAGGGAUGACGGUCCUACGGAUUGUAAACCUCUUUUGCCGGGGAGCAAGCGUGCGUUCGUGAACGCACGUCGAGAGUACCCGGAGAAAAAGCAUCGGCUAACUCCGUGCCAGCAGCCGCGGUAAUACGGAGGAUGCGAGCGUUAUCCGGAUUUAUUGGGUUUAAAGGGUGCGUAGGCGGGAUGCCAAGUCAGCGGUAAAAAUGCGGUGCUCAACGCCGUCGAGCCGUUGAAACUGGCGUUCUUGAGUGGGCGAGAAGUAUGCGGAAUGCGUGGUGUAGCGGUGAAAUGCAUAGAUAUCACGCAGAACUCCGAUUGCGAAGGCAGCAUACCGGCGCCCUACUGACGCUGAGGCACGAAAGCGUGGGUAUCGAACAGGAUUAGAUACCCGUGUAGUC